AACCUUUGUUUGUCUUUAAAGCAGACUUCCUAGGAUGCACUUCUUCCUUACAUCAGAAAAAAAGCCAUGAACAUGCAGCCACAUGGAUUGGAGAAGACAGAAGAAAACAGGGGCCAAAGUACAGGGGAAAAAGAGAAAAUCCUGGGAUUACACAAGGAAGAGAAGUUGUUCAUGACUUCCCUGGUGGCGCAGUGGUUAAGAAUCCGCCUGCCAAUGCAGGGGACACGGGUUCGAGCCCUGGUCUGGGAAGAUCCCACAUGCCGCGGAGCAACUAAGCCCGUGCACAACAACUACUGAGCCUGUGCUCUAGAGUCUGCGAGCUACAACUACUGAGACACGUGCCAAAACAACUGAAGCCCGCGUGCCUACAGCCCACGCUCCACAACAAGAGAAACCACCGCAAUAAGAAGCCCACGUACUGCAACGAAGAGUAGCCCCUGCUCUCUGCAACUACAGAAAGCCUGCGGGCAGCAACAAAGACCCAACGCAACCAAAAAUAAAAUAAAUUAAUUAAAAAAAAAAGUUGUUUAUAUGAAAUCAAUCUACCAUACUCGUCUAACUUAAACUAAUACAUAGUUGGUAUUGAAAAUGAUUUUCUGAUGUUUUAGAACACUGUGAUUUCUUA